rnacentral:rRNA from 1 species
UACGGGGGGGGCAAGCGUUGUUCGGAAUUACUGGGCGUAAAGGGCUCGUAGGCGGCCAACUAAGUCAGACGUGAAAUCCCUCGGCUCAACCGAGGAACCGCGCCCGAUACUGCAGUGCUUGAGGGAGACAGAGGUAAGCGGAACUGAUGGUGGAGCGGUGAAAUGCGUUGAUAUCCACAGGAACUCCGGUGGCGAAGGCGGCACGCUGGACCCUCCCUGACGCUGAGGCGCGAAAGCCAGGGGAGCGAACGGG